CCUCAUCUUUUCUUCAUAAGAAGUUCUUGGUCCUCCAGGUUUCCACUCCUGUGUGGCCCUUCCUCAAUCCAGAUAUUUAGCCCUGGAUUUGCAGAGAGAAGAGCUGCUCAGUCCCACUGGUGGCUGCAUACUUUCAAUGUGGCUGCAGCUGUCACUGUCUCAGGGUGAAAGCCAUCUGGCCUCCUUGUCAGAUUCACUACCCAAGCAUCCCACUGUGCUGCCACAUGUCUUCAACCACCAAACCAUGAGGCCAAGGAGGGGCUCAGCUUAAUGCAGCUGCUGUGGUCAGCAGGCACGUGCCAGGGGUGCAGAAAGAACCUCUGUGAAUACAGAAGUCUCUCUCCCCUGGAGGACUAGUAUAUGAUACAAGUUUCAUCUGCUUAUCCCACCUCUUGGGUCAGUUCCCACAGUACAGACUUUUAGGUUACCCAGCUGCUUUCGCUGACACGCACUGUCAGCCACUUUCCCAAAGCACACCCCCAAUCUAGCAUGGCUGAGUUGGAGAGUGUUUCCAAACUGAAUAGCACACCAUGACAGAGCAUUCUCUCUCACGACUUUUUAAGUCCCCUGGGUCCCUGAACAUAGAGAAAGACCAUCCUUCUCACUCUUGCAAGCCCAUCACUGUCUCCUACACCUGGAUGAGUUGCUUCAUCCAUGGGAAACCCGCACAAACAUAGAAAGGCCCUGGACCAGUACCUGGCACAGAAUGGAUGCUCUUCUUCACCUCUUCUCCUCAUGAUCACAGGCACCCCUGUACCUUUCUUAAGUGCCACAUAUAUCUUAAGCCAAGUGACUUAGAGAUAGGUUAAAACAGAGGCCGUUUGGCUGCUCAAGUUUCUGUUUCAUGGCAAUUAUUUAGGAGAAGCAUUGCUACGGUGUCCUACCUUAAAGAAGAUGGUGAAGAAGGUAAAAUGGGAACAGCAGAGAAGGGACAGAAAGUAUAGUUGUUAACAGCGUGGAUGUCGAUGGUACAGCAGCUAAGGUUGUGCCAGUCCCAGAACCCCAUGACCUCAGGAGGGAACUUUUUACGACUGUUGAAGUUGAAGGGACCCCAAAUAGUAUCACCCUUCUGUCUCAUGCAAAGUGAGAAUCCAC
rnacentral:lncRNA from 1 species